CACUUCCUGGAAGCCCAAGCAAAAGCGGCCAAAUCACCCCUCCCACCUUCCCUUCGCUCUCUAUCUAUAUAGGCACGAGCAACUUCCCCUGUUCCACUUCCUCUCUUCAGAGUUAGACAUCUCUGCUUGUCUCUCAGCCAAUCCAUUUGAACGUCUUCCUUCUGCUCUCAUCUCCUUCAUCUGUGAUUGUUCGAAGAUGAGUUCCAUGAGAUUCUACGCCCUCCCGAUAGUGGGUUUCUUCGUGUUGGUGCUUUUGAAUGUAGUUCAGGGACAGGGCAUCUCUCCUUCUUCUGCGCCGGCUGGUGUUCCGGCAAACGACGGCAAGGCAAUUGAUCAAGGGAUUGGUUACAUACUUCUGCUGCUAGCUCUUGUCAUCACAUAUCUCAUACAUUAAUCUUUUACCCAGAAACUUGAUUUUAUUCAUUUAAUUCUUCAUGUAUUUCUCGUGAUAUUCAUCAGGAGUGAUUCAUCCAUUUUUGUAUAUGUACCAGAGAUUGGAAUUUAUUGGAUUUGACUUUUGAGCUAGUUUCGUAA